GUUCUGCAGAGACGUUGCUUGCUACUGGGAGCGCACCAUAAGGCUGAGGCGUGCUUUUGAGAAGGUCGCAGUAAAAACCGGUGAAAACUAAGGGACAGUGCCUAACCUGAUAUUGUUUUAAGAAUAAAUAACAUCAGACGGAAUGGAGCUGUGAGGGGCCCCAAAGGAGAGGACAGAGAUCCUGAAUCUGCUAAAAGGUGCGAAGCCAGAAAGAUUUAAGCGGCUAUUAGGACAAGAAUAAAAACACAUGAAGAAGGAAGGCACAUGGAAAGAGAAAAGAAAGAAAAAGACCCUGGAGCAGACACCAUGCAUAUAAACGCGGAAUAAAAGGAUGGUUUCUGCUAGAUUCAUUUUUAUUUCACGUCCCCAAAGAGACUGACUAUGGAUUUUAAUGUUGACAUGGACAAAAAAAAGAUGGAUGCUCAAAGGCUACAUAUUUAUAUCUUAUGUAUGAGAUACAUAUCUUAUGUAUGACAUACAGAAUACCUUACAGCUUAAAUUUUUGAAGAUAGACUUCCUCU
rnacentral:lncRNA from 1 species